GAUUGGCUAGCACGUCUUUUGUGGCAUCAAGCCUACAAACAAGAAUAAUGAUAUAUGAUCAUUGAUGUUAAUGAUGUUUAACCUUGUUUCUUCUCCAAAUCUUGACGUGAUGCCAUCUAUAAAUGCCAAAACCCAAUCUCUAUGCCAAUGCCUUGAAUCAUCAGUGUACCUAUAAUGCAAACACAUAAUAUAUGUCCAACAAAACUCCUCGUCAUCAAUAAAUCUUAAAAUGCUAGGCACAUAUUGAAAAUA
rnacentral:lncRNA from 1 species